GACUCUGUAGUGAAGUUCAUGUUGAGUUGCAAACUCAUUGAUAUGUGCUCGGAGCACAUCAGAGUCU
rnacentral:tRNA from 1 species